UACGGAAGGCAGCAGUGGGGAAUAUUGCACAAUGGGCGCAAGCCUGAUGCAGCCAUGCCGCGUGCAUGAAAAAGGCCUUCGGGUUGUAAAGUACUUUCAGUCGUGAGGAAGGUGUUAAGGUUAAUAACCUUAGCAAUUGACGUUAGCGACAGAAGAAGCACCGGCUAACUCCGUGCCAGCAGCCGCGGUAAUACGGAGGGUGCGAGCGUUAAUCGGAAUUACUGGGCGUAAAGGGCACGCAGGCGGUUAAUUAAGUUGGAUGUGAAAUCCCCGGGCUUAACCUGGGAAUGGCAUUCAAGACUGGUUAGCUAGAGUCUUGUAGAGGGGGUAGAAUUCCAUGUGUAGCGGUGAAAUGCGUAGAGAUGUGGAGGAAUACCGGUGGCGAAGGCGGCCCCUGGGACAAAGACUGACGCUCAUGUGCGAAAGCGUGGGGAGCAAACAGGGAUUAGAUACC
rnacentral:rRNA from 1 species